CGGCAACAGCUCAAAUUUGAAAUCUGGCCUUCGGGUCCGAGUUGUAAUUUGCAGAGGAUGCUUUUGGCGCGGUGCCUUCCGAGUUCCCUGGAAUGGGACGCCUUAGAGGGUGAGAGCCCCGUACGGUUGGACACUAAGCCUCUGUAAAGCUCCUUCGACGAGUCGAGUAGUUUGGGAAUGCUGCUCUAAAUGGGAGGUAAAUUUCUUCUAAAGCUAAAUAUUGGCCAGAGACCGAUAGCGCACAAGUAGAGUGAUCGAAAGAUGAAAAGCACUUUGAAAAGAGGGUUAAAUAGCACGUGAAAUUGUUGAAAGGGAAGCGUUUGCGACCAGACCUUUUCCUGGCGGAUCAUCCGGUGUUCUCACCGGUGCACUUCGCCAGGUCGAGGCCAGCAUCGGUUUUCGUAGGGGGAUAAAAGCCUGAGGAACGUAGCUCCCUCGGGAGUGUUAUAGCCCCUCGCAUAAUACCUUUACGGGGACCGAGGACCGCGCCUUCGGGCAAGGAUGCUGGCAUAAUGGUUGUCAACGACCCGUCUUGAAACACGGACCAAGGAGUCGAACAUUUGUGCGAGUGUUUGGGUGUUAAACCCUCACGCGUAAUGAAAGUGAACGGAGGUGAGAGCCCCUUGCGGGGUGCAUCAUCGACCGAUCCUGAUGUCUUCGGAUGGAUUUGAGUAAGAGCAUAACUGUUCGGACCCGAAAGAUGGUGAACUAUGCGUGGAUAGGGUGAAGCCAGAGGAAACUCUGGUGGAGGCUCGCAGCGGUUCUGACGUGCAAAUCGAUCGUCAAAUCUGCGCAUGGGGGCGAAAGACUUAUCGA
rnacentral:rRNA from 2 species